rnacentral:rRNA from 1 species
GGGCGGCAUGCUUACACAUGCAAGUCGAACGGCAGCGGGGAAAGCUUGCUUUCCUGCCGGCGAGUGGCGAACGGGUGAGUAAUACAUCGGAACGUGCCCUGUAGUGGGGGAUAACUAGUCGAAAGAUUAGCUAAUACCGCAUACGACCUGAGGGUGAAAGUGGGGGACCGCAAGGCCUCAUGCUAUAGGAGCGGCCGAUGUCUGAUUAGCUAGUUGGUGAGGUAAAGGCUCACCAAGGCGACGAUCAGUAGCUGGUCUGAGAGGACGAUCAGCCACACUGGGACUGAGACACGGCCCAGACUCCUACGGGAGGCAGCAGUGGGGAAUUUUGGACAAUGGGGGCAACCCUGAUCCAGCAAUGCCGCGUGUGUGAAGAAGGCCUUCGGGUUGUAAAGCACUUUUGUCCGGAAAGAAAUGGCUCUGGUUAAUACCUGGAGUCGAUGACGGUACCGGAAGAAUAAGGACCGGCUAACUACGUGCCAGCAGCCGCGGUAAUACGUAGGGUCCAAGCGUUAAUCGGAAUUACUGGGCGUAAAGCGUGCGCAGGCGGUUGUGCAAGACCGAUGUGAAAUCCCCGGGCUUAACCUGGGAAUUGCAUUGGUGACUGCACGGCUAGAGUGUGUCAGAGGGAGGUAGAAUUCCACGUGUAGCAGUGAAAUGCGUAGAGAUGUGGAGGAAUACCGAUGGCGAAGGCAGCCUCCUGGGAUAACACUGACGCUCAUGCACGAAAGCGUGGGGAGCAAACAGGAUUAGAUACCCUGGUAGUCCACGCCCUAAACGAUGUCAACUAGUUGUUGGGGAUUCAUUUCCUUAGUAACGUAGCUAACGCGUGAAGUUGACCGCCUGGGGAGUACGGUCGCAAGAUUAAAACUCAAAGGAAUUGACGGGGACCCGCACAAGCGGUGGAUGAUGUGGAUUAAUUCGAUGCAACGCGAAAAACCUUACCUACCCUUGACAUGCCACUAACGAAGCAGAGAUGCAUUAGGUGCUCGAAAGAGAAAGUGGACACA